rnacentral:rRNA from 1 species
UGCAAGCGUUGUCCGGAAUUAUUGGGCGUAAAGAGCUCGUAGGUGGUUCGUCACGUCGGAUGUGAAACUCUGGGGCUUAACCCCAGACCUGCAUUCGAUACGGGCGAGCUUGAGUAUGGUAGGGGAGUCUGGAAUUCCUGGUGUAGCGGUGGAAUGCGCAGAUAUCAGGAGGAACACCAAUGGCGAAGGCAGGACUCUGGGCCAUUACUGACACUGAGGAGCGAAAGCGUGGGGAGCGAACAGGAUUAGAUACCCUGGUAGUCCACGCCGUAAACGGUGGGCACUAGUUGUGGGGACCUUCCACGGUCUCUGCGACGCAGCUAACGCAUUAAGUGCCCCGCCUGGGGAGUACGAUCGCAAGAUUAAAACUCAAAGGAAUUGACGGGGCCCCGCACAAGCAGCGGAGCAUGCGGCUUAAUUCGACGCAACGCGAAGAACCUUACCAAGGCUUGACAUAUACAGGAAUAUGGCAGAGAUGUCAUAGCCGCAAGGUC